GCUGGAGGCAUCUGUCCAGACCCAGUCUCCCGUCUUCCUGUUUCCCAGGCUCCCUCUCCUCUCCAGGAGGCCUGUUUGUCCGCUGGCUUUAGUCAGGAGUAGAUUCUGCAGAGGGUGAUAAAAAGGCAGCUGCCAAUAGUGUUUGCCCCUGGUUGGCCUGGGCUGUGUGCUCAAAAGCAUAAGGGGGGCCCGGUGUCUUUGUUGGCGGAUAUGUAAAGAGGGCAGCCAGCACGCGUGACUCAGUCAGUGUUCACUAAGCCACUUUUCAAACAGAUGCUGUUCACCCAGUUUUCAGGAAACCACCAGAGCAAACACAGGACAACAUCUGUGUGGUACACUCCGCCUCUCGAUGGGCUUCGAAGGCUUGGCUUUGCAACGAGUUCAACCAGUUCUACAACUGGUACAUCAACAACGGCAGUGAGCGACGCGGGGGCUCCUGUGGGGACGGUUCAGGCACCUUCCCUGUUUCCCCUGUACAUGGCGAACUUCAAGUACAGGUCUGAGUCCUGCCACAUUCAGAAAUACUCUGAUGAUGCAGCUGUUGUGACGUGUAUCAGGAAGGGGCAGGAGGAGGAAUACAAGAACCUGACGAGGGCCUUCAGAGACUGGAGCGCUAAGAAGUGCCUGCUGCUGAACACCUCCUAGUCCAAGGAAAUGGUCAUAGAUAGGAGGUCUAAGCAACAGCUCCUGGACAUAGAAGAGGUGCAAACCUAUAAGUUCGAGAGGAACUUAGGAACUACAACAAACUGGACUGGUCUGCCAACACACAACACGGAUGCCGUGUACAGGAAGGGGCAGAGCCGACUCUUCUUCCUUCGGGGCCUCAGAUCCUUCAACGUGUGCAGUGAAAUGCUACUCAUGCUCUACCAGUCAGUGGUUGCCAGUGCUCUUUUUCAUGCUGCAGUCUGUUGGGGUUAUUCUAUUCCAUUCUAUUCUAAUUGAAAUAGUCCAUUUGAAGUGAACAGUGCUUGCAGAGAGCCUUUGUUUGCAGUGUGCUUUAGUAACAAACAAAACCCCCCCCAAAACACUCAGCACAAAUUAAAUGCAAGACAUAACAUUCAUUAAGCACAACCUCUGUUGUUGACUUUAUUGCAUUCAGUAUAAAGUUAUUUAAAUCCACUGAUAAAAAUGACAGAUUUUAAUUAUAAUUUAAUUUGUACAAUAAUACAAAAAACACACUCUGCUAUUGACUUUUUCUUUUAACCAUAAGACUGAGGAUCGGACAGGUACUUGAAAUACAACACUG